rnacentral:tRNA from 1 species
UCUGCUCUGAGCCAGCAUCUCGUAGGCCGGGGCCUUUGUCAGCCGCAGGUCGGGGGUUCAAUUCCCCCCUGCGGCU